rnacentral:rRNA from 1 species
GCUGGCGGCAGGCCUAACACAUGCAAGUCGAGCGCCCCGCAAGGGGAGCGGCAGACGGGAGAGUAACACGUGGGAACGUACCCUUCAGUUCGGAACAACCCAGGGAAACUUGGGCUAAUACCGGAUACGUCCGUAAGGAGAAAGAUUUAUCGCUGAAGGAUCGGCCCGCGUCUGAUUAGCUAGUUGGUGGGGUAAUGGCCCACCAAGGCGACGAUCAGUAGCUGGUCUGAGAGGAUGAUCAGCCUCACUGGGACUGAGACACGGCCCAGACUCCUACGGGAGGCAGCAGUGGGGAAUAUUGGACAAUGGGCGCAAGCCUGAUCCAGCCAUGCCGCGUGGAUGAUGAAGGCCUUAGGGUUGUAAAGUCCUUUCGGCGGGGAAGAUAAUGACGGUACCCGCAGAAGAAGCCCCGGCUAACUUCGUGCCAGCAGCCGCGGUAAUACGAAGGGGGCUAGCGUUGCUCGGAAUCACUGGGCGUAAAGCGCACGUAGGCGGACUCUUAAGUCGGUGGUGAAAUCCUGGAGCUCAACUCCAGAACUGCCUUCGAUACUGGGAGUCUUGAGUCCGGGAGA